GGACAUAGUAUUUGGGUACAUUUUUAUUACGUAACCUGGUUAGGAAACACAGAAAGCUAAAUAUAAAAAAACCAAUGCAGGCGAAUUUUGAAGCCUGUUUCCAUGGUGACGUGAUGACUCGUUAGCGUUGUACCAGAGUGAGCUGCAGCCUAGCACUGCUGCUCGGGGAUAACCGGUUUUAACCCAUGUACCGUUAGCUGUGUGUAGCACUAAGGUAAUGUCUGAAGUAGAUGUUCGUGCGGCUGCUCCAUCAUGAUAACUUGCCAGUUAGACCCGUCGAUAAUCACCGUAAAGGGGCUAAUAUCCCGGGAAAGCUCGAACUGCGGGCAGCGCGGCCCUGAUGCGGUUGGAUAUCCGACAUACAGGAACUUGAGGAUGGGAGCAGGUGGAGGGCAAGCGUCUUUAAGGCAAAGUCAACCAAGGAAAUUUCCUGUUAUACAACCUUUGAGCAAGUCCAGGGACGCGAAACCUCAGCUGACUGGCUUCAUAAUUGGAGGGACGCCUACUUUAACCAAAGAUGACAAGCUGGAGUUGCAAAACACCAACCCAGAGAGGGAUCUCAGCGGGAGGCGCUUUCUGUUAGAUAGAAAAUGUGUGAUGUUAGAGAGGACCAAAACUGUGAUUCCUCCACUGCCAAGAGACUACCAUGUGCACAGACCUGGUAACCUCCCAUCCUUCAGCCUCUCCAAGGAGCUUUCCCACAGCCACACAGGGCGACCCUUCACCCUGGGGUACCCUGAAAGCUAUAAACUGAACACAAAUCCAGCCGUCCUCAUUCCCUCAGCUUUAGUCCUCAGUGGCAGAAACACCUUUUCGGUUGAGAACUGCAAGCUUGGCAGGCCCAAGGUGAAAUAUCCAUCCUCCAACGUAAUGACUGUUAAAAACAAUCAGAAAAGCCAGUCCUAUCCGGACCCAAUAGCUGGAGCCUCUCGCUCUUACAUCCACAGGAUAUCUGAGCUGUCCUCUCUGGAGGGCGAGACGGUGAGGCAGGAAAAGCUCAAGAAAAUGAGAAAACCUCGAAAGACUCCAUCCUGACAAUCACCUCCUUCCCAGUCACACUGGUCGAGGUUAAAAACAUUCGAGUCUGUGCCAACGACAGAACAGAAUAAACCACUUAGGGCGCCAUGUUCAUUUCAGUGGCUCGUUCUGACUGCUUGUUUGUCCUCUGUGAUAUUAGUUUGCUGCUUGGUAUGGCUGGUGGUUACAUUCUGGGAUUCUUAAUUACGUGUAGUACGGACUUGCAACAAUAAAUGCCGGUGAUGAAUAUUAGGUAAACAUUUUCCAGUCUGACGCACAGCUGUCAGCAGUUUUCCACCCAGCACCUGCAUGCAGGAUAUUUAAUUUAGCUUUCUAAUGGCUCUUGUAUAAUGCGGCCAUAUUUCUUUCUGUAUCAUCUGUAUCAUAUUUCAUACGGUGUCCAUCUUUGGCCUCAUCGUUACCACAGUGUUUCAGACAUACAGCAUAUCUAAGCUUUGUUAAGUAAGUGAAAUAUUGACAUAUAUAGUAAAUAGUUUAGCAAAGCCAUAAUUGUGCCUUGUUAACUGUCUUCCUGAAAUUAAAUAAAUUUAUUUUUGUUAUUUUGAGGACCUUCCUUCAUGUGUAUAGCUUUUUUUUCACCACAUAUGUGGACCGUCACACCACUUUUUGGUGCAAACACUACAUAUAGACCACUACAAUUAGCAAAAUAUGCAUUCCAUAUUUACGAAACAGACACAAAACUGUGCCCCCAGAUCCGAGAAUGUGGUGCUGUCCCACGCAACGCAGAGUUUUGCUGCUGAAUACUCUUGUUCAUUGUAUUUGACAGCAGCCAUGCAACUGUCUAUUUUUGUGUAGAGAGAAAUCUGGACGUGUGCAGAAAUAUGAGUCUUUUUUGAAUAGAUAUAAAAAGAACUGGUCCUUAUUCUACUUUCUACAGCCAUCUAUACUGGAUAAUUGUGCAGUAUUUGGCUACAUAUUUGAACCAUUAAUUCAUUACUUGAACUAUUUAUAAGUUUUGUCCCUUUGGUGGAAGUAAAGGUUGUGAAAAUAUCACAUCUGACGUCAUUUUAAAGUUUCUUUACAACCCUUUAAAAUUUAAUAAGAUUAAAUUUACUUGGCUCUGUGUGUAAAUAAAGACGGAACAAGAAAAGAAAGAAUUAAUGGCUGAAAUCGUUUUUCCACUAAUUGCUGAUGCGUGUUAUCACGCUGCUACAGCUCUCCUCUGCGUCACCCUGUGCCAAUCAGAAAGACGCAGGGGAAACAGCUGAGAUGAAGUUCUGUCGCUGAGAUCAUUUAGUGCUGAAAGUGACAGAUGAAGGCUUCUACGUAGUCUGAUAUACAUUUAAGAGAGUUUUUGUUUCAGUUAUUGUUUUUUUUUUCUCUUUUUGGCAUUUCUGCUGGAUUAAACAAAGCAGCAAGGGAGAGGAGAAGAAGCCAUCAUCAAGGAUAUCAGUCAGUAUGCGCGCUCUGAAACUCAACUGUCAACUGUGUUUAAUUUCAGGGAGUGUGUGCCUAAGCUCCCUAUUAAAUAGCACUGAGAUGUUGUCAAACGUCAGGCUCUGUUUGCGUCCCUCCCUCCGCCGGGAUUGUGAGGUGUGCAUUUCAGGGGCACACAGUGACCUAGAAACACAGAGCCAUCCCCUUAUUCAUACCAAGGGAAGGGGGUGCAUGAAUGCCCAAAUGGAGGCCGGGGCUCCCUCUUCUUGCAGGGUUUUUAGCGUCCCUUUCAAGUGUAGUGAAACAAAAUGACCUGGAACAAACAGUCAACAAUGAGGUCUUUAAUAGGAGCUGUUCUGGGGCCUGCCCACAAGUGGUUUAUCGUUUCACUGUAGUUCCACGGGAACCUUGAACAAACGAGACAGUGCUGAAUUAAAAGUUCAACUGUCUCUUAAGUCAAGGAUCCGAUAAUGACGAAAACGCCAAUUCAUUUUAUCUCAC
ensembl:lncRNA